rnacentral:rRNA from 1 species
AUUGAACGCUGGCGGCAGGCCUAACACAUGCAAGUCGAACGAGUGGCGGACGGGUGAGUUAUGUCUGGGAAACUGCCUGAUGGAGGGGGAAAACCACGGGAAACGGUAGCUUACACCGCAUACUAUCGGAUGUGCCCAGAUGGGAUUAGCUAGUAGGUGGGGUAACGGCUCACCUAGGCGACGAUCCCUAGCUGGUCUGAGAGGAUGACCAGCCACACUGGAACUGAGACACGGUCCAGACUCCUACGGGAGGCAGCAGUGGGGAAUAUUGCACAAUGGGCGCAAGCCUGAUGCAGCCAUGCCGCGUGUAUGAAGAAGGCCUUCGGGUUGUAAAGUACUUUCAGCGGGGAGGCGUUACCCGCAGAAGAAGCACCGGCUAACUCCGUGCCAGCAGCCGCGGUAAUAC